UACGAAGGGGGCUAGCGUUGCUCGGAAUCACUGGGCGUAAAGCGCACGUAGGCGGAUCGUUAAGUCAGGGGUGAAAUCCUGGAGCUCAACUCCAGAACUGCCUUUGAUACUGGCGAUCUUGAGUUCGGGAGAGGUGAGUGGAACUGCGAGUGUAGAGGUGAAAUUCGUAGAUAUUCGCAAGAACACCAGUGGCGAAGGCGGCUCACUGGCCCGGUACUGACGCUGAGGUGCGAAAGCGUGGGGAGCAAACAGGG
rnacentral:rRNA from 1 species